UCGACUCAAGUUAAAGGAGGAAUUAUUUUCGGACAUGAAAUAAGAGCUUUUAAUUUUCAACUUUGAUUAUCACAAAAAUUGAUUAAUUAAAGUUAGACAAGUAAAUUAGUGGGACAUGUGUCAAUGUUAAGGGCUACUUAUAUAAGGCAUAAGAUGACUUAUAUUCCUCCAUUAUUCACAAAACUCAUCCAUCAAAGUAGAGUUAGUGAGAGAAGCUCUCAAGCUUAGAGAGAGAGAGGGGUUCCCGGCGCUACUAUUCACGGCGGCGCACUGUUCACGGCGCCGCCACUGUUCACGCGCACUGUUCAUGCCGCUACUAUUCACGCCGCCACUGCUCACGGGCACUGUUCACGGCCAGCCCAUUUUUGCCCCCUUCUACACAAUUAAUUGGAGAGAUUUGAAGAUCAAGAGGAGGAAAAAGAUGGAGCUCAUGGUAAUGGGUAUAUGGAGUAUGUUAAAGGUGAUUUCUAUUUAAGUGAAUUGAGACAAGAAAUUAAUUAUGUGUGUAAUUGAUUAAAUGGGGAAUUCUAUUAGAAUAUUAGAAUUAAUUACGAUUUUUUUUGGGAUAAAUAUUAUAAUCCACAUGGAAGCUUGUUAAUUGGGAAGAUGGGGUUUUAAAUAUACGCAUGGAACAGAUGGGAUGAUAAUGGCUGUUGAGGCGUAAAGUUCCUAAAAGCCCCAUGCGUCAAAAGGAAUAGAGUGCAUGCGUACCCUUUUUAUUCCACUUUUGGAGAAUUCACUUUAUGGAACUAAGUACUGCAUAUAUUUAAAAAGGAGCACAACGUAGCAAUUCUUUCUUGGAAGCAAUCUUUCAAGGUAAAUCCGACAAAUUCCUAGACAAAAAAAAAUGGACAGUGACGUGAACUUCCAAAUCAACCAGCAAUGCCCUUCUUAAAUACACAGUAACAACCUUUCGUUUGUGCAACAUAGCAGCUAUUUUGUCCUAAUAAAUAUCAAGUCAAGUUCAAUUCCAUUGACGUGAUGAUACUAAUAUCAAUUUCCUCCGGUGCUGGCAAAUUGAAGAAUUUUUCGAAGUGAAGUAAAGUGGAAAAAGAAUACUUCUUGGUAUAUAAGGCUAAAAGAGCGACGAGACGAACGGGUUACGAAUAGCCGCUAACAGGUACAGACGCACAGUUUGGUGAUCUACCCAUUUAGGACACCCUCUUCUGCUGUUUGGAGUGCUCUUCUCAUUUCAGAGCACACAUUUUGGUAUAUAUUCGUUCGCUAUGUAUAUAUGUAUUUGUUCAGGGGAACGGCGGGGCCCUGUCCCGCCAUAUGAUUCGGUUUGUCUGUUUAGAGGUCUGUAGACGUAUUUGUGGGUGUGUGUGCCUACUUCUGUUCA